AUACUCUACCUGGCAUAGCCAGGCUACAGAAAGUGAUCCGGCACGUGUGGGUCUGGCGAGACCUUCCAUUGCACAUCGGUUUUGGUUGAUCCCCGCGAUCGUCCCAAAUGGACGAGGACUCGGUGCGCAAUUUAUAAGGUGGGACUGCGUCUUCCGCGCUCUCCCUUU